ensembl:lncRNA
GAGAAUACAAGUCCUCAGCUUCUCAAGGUCACUGUUAUUGUUUUGUGUCUUGCAUAGGCAGCUUGUUCUUGCAACCAGACUUCCUUGAUGUCCUUCUCUCAGUGAGGGAAUCACAGAACUCCAUUUGUGAGAAGCUGACAAGCCCUGGCAUACUUGGAGAGACUGAACAAAGAUCCAAAGAUUGUCCAUAAAGGCAAACAAACAAAAGACGUAAGACUAAUCUGAUUGUGGGAAAUAAAGAAAUGUAAAUAUAGUGCUAUCUAAAGUGAAAAAAUACUUGCAGACAACACCAGCUAUGUUCCCUUGUAUCCAUAGCAAAGGCUCAGAAGAUGAUGAAUGGCAUGUAGAGGAAAUCAGACUUUAACACAGUUAACAGCCACGUUCGUCUGAACUUGUUUGACUCACAGGCCUUAAGAAGUCCCUUUCUACUUUCUCAGGUAACCCAGCUGCAGAGUAGGCAAACACAUGGCUCUCCUGAAGACAUCUGAAGCAGAGGGUGGUGGAUACAAUACAAGCUGGGAUAGCUUUUGAACCUGUGGUCAUGACUGCAGGUGAUGUUUUGAAGUUGGAAUGCUAUAGAAGCCUUAGUGGCCUGCAGUAAGUACCAACUCAAACUGAACUGGGGUUAAUUCACUGUACUGUGUAUUCUACACAGCGAACAACUACUUGUAUUCAGCAUUCAUUAUGUUUAAAGUAACAAGAUCAUUGUGUGGUAAAAUGCAUGAAAUGAUAUGUGUUGAAAGUGUGCUUCUCCCUCCUUUCUCACUUGCCCCAUGUUAACACUGAAUCUUUGAGGACUUUGCCAGUCUGUAAUAAGUCUGAUUUCCUUUUGUUACAUAAUCAAGCUCUGGAAAGACUGAAAUCAAUCUUAGGCAACAACUAUGAAACCCUUUAUGCUGACAUCUCUCCAGCUGGAAAACUGGGUAAGAAGUAUAGUCUCACUUGCAGUCAGAAUCACAGAAUCACAGCAUGGCUGAAGACAAAGGCAUUUCUGGACUUUGUCUAGCCAAUCCAUUAUUCUAAGCAGUGUCAAUAAAGGCAGAUUUCUCAGAACCUUGUUCAGUAUGGUUUUGGAUAUCUCCAAGUAAGAGAGCUUCGUAUGCCUUCUAGUCAACCUGUCCCAGUGUUCUGCUACUCUCUCUGUAAUAAAGUAAAUAUAUAUGU